GUGGUGGAGAAGGUUUUGGACCGCAGAGUGGUGAAGGGAAGAGUAGAGUUUCUGCUGAAAUGGAAGGGGUUCUCAGAUGAGGAGAACACAUGGGAGCCACAAGACAACCUGGACUGCCCCGACCUUAUCAUCGAGUACAUGCAGAAACACAAGGAGAAGGAGGAGAAAAAGAAGGAGGGCAAGAGGAAAGUUGUCAGUGAGGUCUCGGGAGACUCAGAGGAGCGAGGGAGCAAGAGGAAGAAGGAGGAGAAACGGAGAGGAGGAAAGGGACCCAAAUGUCACCACUGUCAACACUGUGACAAGUCCUUCACAUCAUCAAAAUAUUUAAAGAUUCAUCAAAGAGUUCACACUGG